UUCCGGUUGAUCCCGCCGGACCUGACUGCUAUCGGAUUGAUACUAAGCCAUGCGAGUCUUUGCAGUAAUGCAAGGCAUACGGCUCAGUAACACGUAGUCAACUUACCCUAUGGACGAGGAUAAUCUCGGGAAACUGAGCAUGAUACUCGAUAGAUCAUAAUGCCUGGAAUGGUUUAUGGUUGAAAUGAUUCGUCGCCAUAGGAUGGGACUGCGGCCUAUCAGCUUGUUGGUGAGGUAAUGGCCCACCAAGGCGAUUACAGGUACGGGCUCUGAGAGGAGAAGCCCGGAGAUGGGUACUGAGACAAGGACCCAGGCCCUAUGGGGCGCAGCAGGCGAGAAAACUUUGCAAUGUGCGAAAGCACGACAAGGUUAAUCCGAGUGACUUCUGCUAAAGAAAUCUUUUGCAAGUCAUAAAACCACUAGUGAAUAAGGGGUGGGCAAGUUCUGGUGUCAGCCGCCGCGGUAAAACCAGCACCUCAAGUGGUCAGGAGGAUUAUUGGGCCUAAAGCAUCCGUAGCCGGCUCUGUAAGUUUUCGGUUAAAUCCAUGUGCUCAACGCAUGGGCUGCCGAAAAUACUGCAUAGCUAGGGAGUGGGAGAGGUAGACGGUACUCGGUAGGAAGGGGUAAAAUCCUUUGAUCUAUCGAUGACCACCUGUGGCGAAGGCGGUCUACCAGAACACGUUCGACGGUGAGGGAUGAAAGCUGGGGGAGCAAACCGGAUUAGAUACCCGGGUAGUCCCAGCUGUAAACGAUGCAGACUCGAUGAUGCAUUGGCAUAUAGCCAGUGCAGUGUCGCAGGGAAGCCGUUAAGUCUGCCGCCUGGGAAGUACGUACGCAAGUAUGAAACUUAAGGGAAUUGGCGGGGGAGCACCACAAGGGGUGAAGCCUGCGGUUCAAUUGGAAUCAACGCCGGA
rnacentral:rRNA from 1 species